AUGACUGCAAAGGAACAUGUGGACAUUGUCGUGACGUAAACCAGUGUUCCAAUAUUAAUGGGACGUGUUUGACUGGAUGUGUUGCUGGUUAUCAAGGUGACCUGUGUAAAACAACAUGUGACAGAGGGACGUAUGGUUUUGUAUGCAAGGAAACCUGUGAACAUUGUCGUGACGUAGACCAUUGUUCCAAUAUCAAUGGAACAUGUUUGACUGGAUGUGAUGCUGAUUAUCAAGGAAACCUGUGUAAAACUCCUUGCCCCGUUGGAUAUUUUGGAGAAGACUGUUCUGAGACCUGUAUCAACAGUUACACCUGUGACGGUUGUACCGAUGUCAGUGGUUCGUGUGAUUAUGGCUGCCGUCCUGGAUGGAUUGGAUACUUCUGUCAAAAAUGUAUUUAUUUACACACAUAAUUUAAUUCAGCAUUGAGUUUUUAAAAAAUCGAAACAAAUGUAUAUUAUUAUACGUAUAUCAAUUUUAACAAAUGUGAAAACAUUAACUGCAUGCAAGACGAAAAUAAAAAGAAUUCUUAUUUCAAUUUGAAGUUUAUGGACAAAUUUUAAUCGUGU